rnacentral:rRNA from 1 species
UACGUAGGGUGCUAGCGUUGUUCGGAAUCAUUGGGCGUAAAGCGCGUGUAGGUGGUUCGCUAAGUCGGAUGUGAAAGCCCUGGGCUUAACCCAGGAAGUGCACCCGAAACUGGCAAACUAGAAGGUGGUAGAGGAAGGUGGAGUUCCUAGUGUAGAGGUGAAAUUCGUAGAUAUUAGGAGGAAUACCGGCGGCGAAGGCGGCCUUCUGGACCAUUCUUGACACUGAGACGCGAAAGCGUGGGGAUCAAACAGG